AGCGAACGCUGGCGGCAGGCCUAACACAUGCAAGUCGAACGGACCCUUCGGGGUUAGUGGCGGACGGGUGAGUAACACGUGGGAACGUGCCUUUAGGUUCGGAAUAGCUCCUGGAAACGGGUGGUAAUGCCGAAUGUGCCCUUCGGGGGAAAGAUUUAUCGCCUUUAGAGCGGCCCGCGUCCGAUUAGCUAGUUGGUGAGGUAAUGGCUCACCAAGGCGACGAUCAGUAGCUGGUCUGAGAGGAUGACCAGCCACAUUGGGACUGAGACACGGCCCAAACUCCUGCGGGAGGCAGCAGUGGGGAAUCUUGCGCAAUGGGCGAAAGCCUGACGCAGCCAUGCCGCGUGAAUGAUGAAGGUCUUAGGAUUGUAAAAUUCUUUCACCGGGGACGAUAAUGACGGUACCCGGAGAAGAAGCCCCGGCUAACUUCGUGCCAGCCGCCGCGGUAACAC
rnacentral:rRNA from 1 species